AUGGCUUUUGGUGAUUAUCUCGCUGAAUACAACCCCAAGGUACAUGGUCCUUAUGACCCAGCUCGCUAUUAUGGCAAAGCUG
rnacentral:lncRNA from 1 species